ACCCCUAACCACUCGGCGUCGCCAGAUCCACACAAAGGAGUUCAGCUCUACGUGGAGAAACAAGCGAAAAGUCCAAAAGACUAGAGAGCAAAAUGGGUAUCAGCCAGUUACUGAGUAAGCCUUCAGAUGGGGAUAAAGAAAUGAAUCCAGAAUAUCAAGUGGUCACCCUGCAGCCGGAAGUUAUUGUGAUCAACACUCCACUGGAUGAGCCACUUCCAGAUCACAUGUGUUUCUCCAUCUUCACAACAUUGUGCUGUUUUUUACCUCUUGGCCUUGCUGCUUUGGUUUACUCCAUCACAACUCAAAAUGCAAACCUGUUUGGACACCGACAAAUUGCAGAAAAAAACUCCAGACUUGCACGCAAACUUAACUAUGUCAGUCUUGGUAUUGGCAUGACAAUAUUUUUGUUAGUUGUCAGCUUUUUUAUUUAUGUUGGUGUACUUUUUGGAAAAAGGGGAUUCUUUUUUUAGCCGUACACCUUUUGCUGGGAAACGAAUAUUCCUUUAGCUUCAGGAAGUAUGAACACACAUUAAUGGCCCAUAUUGACAUUAAGUUACUGUCAUACAACUUCUGAGGACUGUGUGUGGGAGAGAGAGCUCGCCGUAUUGUUGUUGAUGAACUUUUGAAUAACUGUGACAUUUUAUGUUUGAAAGAGACUUUUUUUAAGCCUUGGAAAAUUUUUAUUAUUUUAAUAGUAAUUGUUAUGGAGCUGCUGAUUCCACAACAGAUGCUUGUAUGGGGUUAAUUAAGUCUUCAUUUUUAUACAGAUGUUUUGAAGUUAUUUACACUGUAAAAAAUUCUGUAGAAAUUAUAGUAUUACUGGGUAUUACUGGCAAUGAGCUGCCAGUAACUUACUGUAGAUUUUACAUUUAUGUUAUUUACUGGCAACAGUUUGUUCAAAGUUAAAUGAACAUGAAACAUUUUCAGUCUUUAUCUUCUACAGUAAGUUUGACAGUGUACUUUAAUGUUUUUACCAAUGACAGCUUUGAUUGUGAAACAAAAAAUGUACCAUAUUUUUUCUCUACGUUUUUAAUACAUAUUGUAUAUACAUUAAUUCUUAUAUGAUGAAUAACUAAUUUAUUAUUCAUUCUAAGCAGAUAUGUACUUGCUAUCAUUGACUUUUAUACAUUCCAAAGUGGAUUUUUUGCAAUGGCUUUAAAAAACUCUCCCUAUGUUUUGGGUUGUUCUUGUAACUUUCUUAUAAAGUUUCUGGAAUAGCACUAUGUAAACAUUGCUUUUAUAAAGGUCCAUAUCAAUAAAGGUUAUUAUUUUUGAUUCCA